GGCGUAGUGAGCAACGGGUGCAGCAGCGUAGUGAGCUACAGGUGCAGCAGCGUAGUGAGCUACAGGUGCAGCAGCGUAGUGAGCUACAGGUGCAGCAGCGUAGUGAGCUACAGGCGCAGCAGCGUAGUGGGCAACAGUGGCUUGAGGCUGAUCGUGACGUUGAAUGCUUUGCGAAGAUACAGCCGCGGCGGAAGAGUAAUGGACGGGAGAAGCCUGGUAGGCCACAGGUGAAGCGUGGUAUGCAACAGGUGCAGCGUGGUACGCUAC